UGCCCUUUGCCAUGUCAUGCAUAUUUAAACCGGACAUGCAUCAUACUUGGUUGUGCAUCAUGCCAUGCUUAUGUGGUGGUUGUUUACUAUGUUGUGUGCUUUUUCCGGUGUUUGCUUCUUCGGGUUGGUUCCGAUAACGUCGCGUCUGUGAGGACCCGUUCGACUAUGUCCGUGUGUCUUCUUCAUGGACUCAUUCUUCUUCCUUGCGGGAUCUCAGGCAAGAUGACCAUACCCUCGAAAUCACUUCUAUCUUUGCUUGCUAGUUGCUCGCUCUUUUGUUAUGCCUAUGUUGUGAUACCUACCACUUGCUUAUCAUGUCUCCUAUAUUGUUGAACCAAGCCUCUAACCCACCUUGUCCUAGCAAACCGUUGAUUGGCUAUGUUACUGCUUUGCUCAGCCCCUCUUAUAGCGUUGUUAGUUGCAUGUGAAGAUUGAAGUUUGUUCCUUGUUGGGACAUGGAGAUGUUGUUCCUUGUUGGAACAUGUUUACUUGUUGGGAUAUCACAAUAUAUCUUAUUUAAUUAAUGCAUCUAUAUACUUGGUAAAGGGUGGAAUGCUCGGCCUUAUGCCUGGUGUUUUGUUCCACUCUUGCCGCCCUAGUUUCCGUCAUAUCGGUGUUAUGUUUCCGGAUUUUGCGUUCCUUACGCGGUUGGGUAAUGGUGGGAACCCCUUGACAGUUCGCCUUGAAUAAAACUCCUCCAGCAAUGCCCAACCUUGGUUUUACCAUUUGCACUAACAACCUACCACCUUCCCUUGGGUUCUUCAGACUCAAGGGUCAUCUUUAUUCUAACACCCCCGGGCCAGUGCUCCUCUGAGUGUUGGUCCGAACUAGAGUCCUGUGCAGCGCCCCCUCGGGGAAACUCGAGGUUUGGUUUUAGUUGUAUGGAGAGCUCAUCUAAGUGUGCCCUGAGAACGAGAUAUGUGCAGCUCCUAUCGGGAUUUGUCGGCACAUUCGGGCGGUGUUGCUGGUUUAGUUUUACCAUUGUCGAAAUGUGUUGUAACCGGGAUUCCGAGUCUGAUCGGGUCUUCCCGCUAGAAGGAAUAUCCUUCGUUGACCGUGAGAGCUUGUGAUGGGCUAAGUUGGGACACCCCUGCAGGGAUUUGAACUUUCGAAAGCCGUGCCCGCGGUUAUGGGCAGAUGGGAAUUUGUUAAUGUCCGGUUGUAGAAAACCUGAAGUUGACCUUAAUUAAAAUGCAUCAACUGCAUGUGUAACCGUGAUGGUCUCUUUCCGGCGGAGUCCGGGAAGUGAACACGGUGUUGGAGUUAUGCUUGACGUAGGUUGUACUAGGAUCACUUCUUGAUCAUAGUUUCUCGAUCGUGCUUUGCCUUCUCUUCUCGCUCUCAUUUGCGUAUGUUAGCCACCAUAUAUGCUAGUCGCUUGCUGCAGCUCCACCUCAUACCUUUUACCCUUCCCAUAAGCUUAAAUAGUCUUGAUCGCGAGGGUGCGAGAUUGUUGAGUCCCUGUGACUCAUAGAUACUUCCAAAACCAGCUUGCAGGUGCCGUUGAACCGUGCAGAUGACGCAACCAAGCUCAAGGAGGAGCUCGAUGAAGAUCUUGCCAUUUGUGUUGUUUCGUUCUAUUUGAUCAGUAGUGGAGCCCAGUCGGGUCGAUCGGGGAUCUGUG
rnacentral:lncRNA from 1 species